rnacentral:rRNA from 1 species
GAUGAACGCUAGCGGCAGGCUUAAUACAUGCAAGUUGAGGGGCAGCAUGAUAUACGCGAGUAUAUUGAUGGCGACCGGCGGACGGGUGAGUAAUAGGUAGGAGACCUACCUCAUACAGGGGGAUAGCAUAGAGAAAUCUGUGGUAAUACCCCAUGAGGUUAUAUGAAUAGAGGCAUAUAAUCAAAGCAUAAGCGAUUAUGCGGUAUGAGAGGGGCCUACUGACCAUUAGCUAGUUGGUGAGGUAAGGGCUCACCAAGGCGAAGAUGGUUAGGGGUUUUGAGAGAGAGACCCCCCACAUUGGAACUGAGAGACGGUCCAGACUCCUACGGGAGGCAGCAGUAGGGAAUAUUGGGCAAGUGGGCGAAAGCCUGACCCCAGCCAUGCCGCGUGAAGGAAGACGGCCUUAUGGGUUGUAAACUUCUUUACUACGCGAAUAGAGUUAGUACGAGAUAACUAAUAGGAAGGUAGUGUAGUAAAAAAGCGACCGGCUAACUCCGUG